rnacentral:rRNA from 1 species
AUGACGCUGGCGGCAGGCCUAACACAUGCAACUCGAACGGUAGCACAGAGAGCUUGCUCUCUGGUGACGAGUGGCGGACGGGUGAGUAAUGUCUGGGAAACUGCCUGAUGGAGGGGGAUAACUACUGGAAACGGUAGCUAAUACCGCAUAAUGUCGCAAGACCAAAGAGGGGGACCUUCGGGCCUCUUGCCAUCAGAUGUGCCCAGAUGGGAUUAGCUAGUAGGCGGGGUAACGGCCCACCCAGGCGACGAUCCCUAGCUGGUCUGAGAGGAUGACCAGCCACACUGGAACUGAGACACGGUCCAGACUCCUACGGGAGGCAGCAGUGGGGAAUAUUGCACAAUGGGCGCAAGCCUGAUGCAGCCAUGCCGCGUGUGUGAAGAAGGCCUUCGGGUUGUAAAGCACUUUCAGCGGGGAGGAAGGCAGUACGGUUAAUAACCGUGCUGAUUGACGUUACCCGCAGAAGAAGCACCGGCUAACUCCGUGCCAGCAGCCGCGGUAAUACGGAGGGUGCAAGCGUUAAUCGGAAUUACUGGGCGUAAAGCGCACGCAGGCGGUCUGUCAAGUCGGAUGUGAAAUCCCCGGGCUCAACCUGGGAACUGCAUUCAAACUGGCAGGCUGGAGUCUCGUAAAGGGAGGUAAAAUUCCAGGUGUAGCGGUGAAAUGCGUAAAGAUCUGGAGGAAACCCGUGGCGAAGGCGGCUUCCUGGACAAAACUGAGCUCAGGUGCAAAGUGUG